rnacentral:lncRNA from 1 species
CCGAGGGAAGAUGGGGGUCACCUCCCUGCCGGGGGGGACACCUCACCCCUUCCCUGCCCUCCUUGGGCUGCUGCACCUGCAAGAACCCCUCCUUGUGCUCUGCUGCUCAUGGGGUGCUUAGAGCUGAGCAUCCUCACGGGGGGAUGCCCUACGGGGAGCUCCCAACGUCCCCUCCGCAGCUCCUACACCCCCAGGGUCGCCGGGCUGCAGUGGAUGGAUUUCAGCCCAGCUGGCAGUUUGGGAUCGUUAACCAUGAAGGUGCCCCUGGGAAGAAGCGAAAAAGGUAUUUGGGAAAAUUUGCUAACAGACUCUAAUGACUUAAUAAUCCCUGCCGGAGAGAGCGCGGCAGGUUAUGUGAAUGUCAAGUUUGUUUGCUUUGCCGAGAGCCGGCUGCUGUUAGGUAAUCAGAGGGUGUGACCUCCUUCGUGGGGAAAAGGCAAGGGAAGGAAAGCAUGUGCCUGCUGCCCUGCCGGAGGUGAGCAGCAGAGAUGGGCACAGAGCGGCCCUGGCAGCCCCACUGCUGCGCUGGGGAGAGCAAAGCCCAGGGGCUGCCCUGCUCUGCACGUUGGGAGCAUGCUGUAGGGCUGGGUGGUGGGGGUGGGAUUCAGCAGGGAAAGCAACCAGGAGCUCGAGGGAGGGGUUUUGAGAGCAUGUUUGUGCUGCACUGGUAUGAACUGCCCAGGGAGUGUUGCUGGGUGGGCACAGGGUGGAUGUGUGUGCCCGAGUGAGCUGUUGCACAGCACAAGCCCGUCUUGGCCAAGCCUGCACCUCAGCCUGCCCAGAUGGGGAACACUGUCCCAUUUUGGGGAUGCCAUUGGGAAUCAUAGGAUCACAGAACGGCUUGGGUUGGGAAGGACCUGAAAUAUCUUCCUGCUCCAACCCCCCUGCUGUGGACAGGGGUGCCACACAGCAGAUCAAGUUGCCCAGGGCCCAUCCAACCUGGCUUUGGACACCUCCAGGGAUGGGGCAUCCACAACUCCUCUAGGCAGCAGCAUCGACUGAGCAAAGUGUGGGGUUUGCUGAACGCUGGGACCUUUCCUUGUCGGUAAAGGAAAGUCAGGACAGGACUCUAAGCAUACUUUGCGUUAUCUGCCAUGACCCGUGGCAUCGGGACAGGCUGCCCCACACCCAAUGGGACGAGACAUCUCACUCUAGAAGCCGAAAGCGGGCAGGUGGGGGCUGACACCCCCCCACCGCUGGGUCCAGUGGGAAGGGGAGCGCAUGACUGCAAGCACCGGAGCUCCUGGAGCACAGGUUGCCACCUCGCAGCUGCUCUCAAGCCCCAGCUUGCCUGCCUCGAUGCUGUUUGAACAGGAGCCUUCGCAGACGUAGCUCUAGGCCAAGUUGUGGGGCAGCCGGGAGGGAACCGCCUGGCUCCAGACCCCGCUGCGGGAGGUCCGGGCGCGUGGGCACCGAAAUACCGCGUGCCAACCGCAGCUCUGCCCCGGGGCCACAACACCUGUGGCCACUUUGAACCCCAACCACAGCCCCGAGGUGCCAGCAGGAUAUGUGGGAGCGCCGGGGUUCGGCUUACAGCCGUUUUUAUGGCCGUUCCUUCGAAUUCUGGGGGCAGGUUGCAUUUCCCAGCAGACGCACAUCCUCACUAAUAGCAGCUUGCAGUCCUCCUCGCAAAAAAAACCCCACAACUGCAUUGUGAGGCUGAGUCCUCUGCCAUCUCCCCUUGCUCUGCCUGCUUUCCCAGGGCUGCCACGCUACAGGGCGCUUGGGGAGGAUGGCGAUGUGCGCAGUGCACAGCACCCAGCAUCCUGCAGGGAUGCCCUGGAUGCCAUUGCAGCAGGCAGCUCCAGAGAGCAUGACACACACUGCAAAAAGACUUAAAAAAAAACCAGACAGACACAAAAAAAGAAAAAAGGAAAAGGCUUCUGAGGCUUAGUGUUGGAUAUUUAUACACUUGACAUAAAGGAUAUUUCUGCAUUGAAGUAAUAAGCGUGACUCAGUAAACCAAUGGGGAAAGGGUGUUCCCUUUGCAGCAAAACCUCAAAAGAUCAAAGAACUUCUUGAGCGGUUUAACAUUUUGAAUGUUAGAUGAAUUGGUUUCCCCUCCCUCUCCCCCUCAUGCUUGCCUUAAAGUUUUGGAAAAGAAAAUGGUUGGAUUUUAGCUGGGAAGGGAUCGCUUUGAGAGCUCGGGGGAUGCGUGGUUCUGAAACAGCACAGCCACAGGCCCAGGGGAUGGCAGCCCUGGAUGGGGACGUGGCUUAAUGGAAAGUGGCUUUUCCCUCCCUGUCACCUUCCAGACCUGCUCCCGCUAUGGAUGGAUGCAGGCAGCCCUCACCAGAGGGAUGUCCCAACACACCACGUCCCCACACUGUGCCCACUGCUGGUCUUCAGGCAGAGCUGAGCAUCACCAGCUUCCAGCAGCUCCUUCCUGUGGGAGAAGCAAAUCCUGCUAUUGUUGUUCUUGCGUGAGAUGUAAGGGGACAGCCCUGUCCUCUGCCUGCAGCAAGCAGCGGGGGCUGGCGUGUACUCACCAGGGAAGGACAGAGCUGUGUCAGUGGACACAUGUGCCUUUGUGGGAUCGAUAGGCUGGAGUAAUAUAUCGCACCGAGAUAACAAAUCACUUAGCUUAUUGGGUCUUAAUUAAGCCUCUUUUAUCUCCGUGACAGCCACACACCUGGGCUAUCACCCCGACGAACGGCGGCUGAGCAGAGGGGGACGCAGUGCAGGAGAGCGGGGAUUGAUGAGCUGCACUGGGUGGAAUUGCCUCAUUGUGCUGCAGCACUCAGGGCCAUCCAUCUCCCACUCCCCACACCAGUCCUGGGCCGGGACCCCCCACUGCAGCCCCCUCCUCCUGGCGCCGUGCAGGCAGGGCACGGGGGGUAGGGGACACCCAAUGGCGUUAGCCAGGCGCAGGGCGACGAGCUCAGGGCUCAGGGCUGCCCCGUUAGCCCCCCUGGGUAAUAGAUACAGUUGUUAUAGUCCCUGACAGCGUGAAAUGAAGACCUACAUCACCAUAAUGUAUUGUCAGGCUGUGAGCACACUGCGGCCCCUGAGAUGAAUGAAUGCAAUAUCUCUGCGUGCGAGGGGGAAGGCGGGGACGGGGGCUCUGCUGCGCUGCUGCCCUCUGGGCGCUUUGUGCGGCGACAGAAAAAGGCAUUUUUUAUGGGUGAUGCAGAGGCUGAGGGUGUCCGGUCCCUGCAGAGCUGCUGACAGGUCCAGCCCACGAAGGGCAGCGCGUAACAAAUGACUGAAGCGCUGCCGGGAUGAGUUCAGCCUGCAAUGAAGUCAUCGCGCCCUGCCUUGCUGCCAGCUGGGGCUGCGGGGCAAUUGAUGGCGUUGGGGCAAGAGGGAUCAGUGCAUGGUACAGCUCCUGUGAGCUGAGAGCAAAGGGAACCUUCCAAAGCAGGGAGACUGGGAACGUGCGUUCGUGACAAUGGGAAUCCGAGGCACGUAUCGCAUUAUUGGAAAGUAGGACAGUUCUCACUCUGAAGUACGACUGCUGAUGUAGUGACUUGGAGUGGAAUAAUGAGAGCUGGGAGUUGUGAGUGACUUACAGCCGAGCAGCCAAGUCCUGCAGGACACCUCCGUCUCCUGCUUUAGGAUGAUGCUUAAAUCCUUCCCCACCACGGGCUGUUGCUGGGGCUCAGCCUUUCCUCUCUGCUAACCCCAGGGCAGGCUGGCAGCAGCAAAACUGAUUGGGAGCUGGGGAGAUAUUCCUGAGCACAGGUCUGAGCAUGGCCGCAGGUUUAUUUCAGGCAAAGGUUGCUUAGGAUUUCUCCCUUUCCCUCUGUUUGAGAUGGCAUUGUCCAUACCCAGCCUAUGGCAGUGACCAUACCCAGCCUCUCCUAAUGGCUUUUGAUUCUUGCAUAGUGUUGUGCUGUUCUUGCUGCUGCACGGCAGGUACUGCGUGUAUGCAAACACUCCUUUAAAACAAUAAAAUAAGGGUCUGGGCUGAAAGACAAGCAGCUCGUAAUUCAGCAUUGCAUUAAACAAAGUCCAAAGUACUCACAUUACACAAAAUCCAACCGAAGGGCAACACCCUUCCAGUGAUCCUGCAUUUUCACGACUGUUUGCAGGUUCUAGGAUGAACACGAAGCAGUCGACAUAGGAAUGGCCAAUCCCCAUAAGCUGUCGAUGAGACUUUCCUCUCCAGACCAGCUCAGCUGGACGCAUGGUAUUGUCAAGGUCAUUCCCAACGCGUGAUGGACCUAUUUGCUGAUGCUUGUGACAUUUCCCAUCAGGCAGGACAGGAUUCCCCUCCAUGUCAUAAGGUUUGGGGCUGGACGUGCCCAGCAGCUUCCUUCCCUUUGCCCAAACCCUCAGCUCGAAUCACAGAGUCAUUCUGCUUGGAAAAGCCCUCUCAGAUCCCCGACACCAUGCCCACUGUGCCACCUCUCCAGGUGUUCUGGAACACCUCCAGGGAUGGGGACACCACCACUGCCUGGGCAGCUGUGCCACUGCAGCACUGCUCUUUCAGAGAGGAAUUUUCUCCUAAUCCCCAACCCGAAAUACUUCCCAGCCCCACACCCCUCCCAGCCAGCCACCCCUGGGUGUUCUUAUUGCAGUAAGCACCGCGCGCUGACUUUGGCAUCUCCCUCAAGCACUCGUGCUGCACGCAGCUCUGCUCCUACUCUUGGCCAUUAUUGCUGCUUGGAGGUUUUUCCCUCUGAGGUUGGGUCCUCCCUCGUGCUGCCGCUCACAGCCUGUCCCCAUUGGUGAUAUACGAUGCCCCUGUAAUCUCCAGCGACAUAAAUUUCUCUCCUGUUUGUCUCCCUGUGUCCUAUCCUUCUCGCCCCGUGCCUGUUAUUGUGUCUAGCUUUGCGGCUGCGUUUCAGCGUUUUCCCUUGUUUGUCUCCUUCACCUGAGGAUGUCCAUUAUGGGAUGUAACAGCUUUAAUAGCUUACAAAUGGGAGGCUGGAGAUUUUGUGCUUCAGGGAGCAGCGCUCACAGCAGUCACCACUAACAGCGGCGUUUCCCAUUGCUGUGUAUCUCAGCUGCUUUCUUCCCUCCUUAUUUUAAGUCCAGGGACAAAUGGCUCGUAAAGCCGCCGGUCCAAUUCGUACUGCUGGUAGGUGGAGCUGGGUGAGAGAGUCGUCCCCGUCCCCCUCUAUUCUGACCCACACAUAGAGACGUCCCUCAUUGCUCUGCUCCCACUCUGAGCCCCAAUACCAGCGGCACCCUGGGAUGCAUUGGUGUGUCUGGAGCCAAAUCCCAGCAUCUGGCAGCAGUAGUUGGGCAUCCUCAUCCUCACCUCUCCAAAAGCAAAGCGCCAUGCGACCAGGAUCUAAUUAAGCAGGCUAAUCUGAAGGAGGUACUACAUCUCCAUGGAAAACUGCUUCAGUUUGGCUUCUCCGGAUAAUAAACAAAGCACUUGGGCAGAUGAUAGGGCAUUUAAGUGUUUACUCUUCAGAGCAUUAAGUGCUAAAUUUGUUUUCAGCUCACUUAUGAAGAACCCUCACCGAGCAAAGCACACAAGGGGCUCAGUUGUACCUUCAGCUCCGCUCUGAGCCUCCUGCAAGGAGCCUGGUCCAUGGGCUGCCCAGUGGGAAGCAGCAGCCAUUGGCAGCACAGGGGCUGAAUCUGCACUAUGGGAAUGCUGCUGGGGCAGAGAGGCGCUGGGAUGGAGCAGCAUCUUCCCAACCCCAUGCAGAACGCCGUGGGCUGUGCUGAGCACAUCUGGCCACCGCUGCCACAUAGGGGAGGUUUCAUCCAGGGCCAUAGAAACGGAGCACAAAACCAACAAAACAACUCUGUUUCUAAAGCUCUAUGAAGUUUGCACCCCACCAUGCCGGGACAAAGGGGGAAUUAGCAGCCAGCAAAGAGAAAAGCAACACAAAGCCACACCGCGGUGUCAAGAAGCCAAAAAGCCCUUUUCCUUCCCAGUGUGCGGGUAUGGCUUGAGGGACUGUUCACAACCCCGAGCCCAACGUGGGUCAGCUUUGCAGCUCUUUGCAUCUGCAUGUGCUUGAGCCGAGCUUUCCCUGCUGCUGCGAUUUAUAAACCAGCUCUGACCCAUCAAAACCAACGCAGAAUGACUCAGAAGUUUGCAGACAGCCAUCAAAAAGGGGACGGAGGGGUGCACCCGGAUCUGCCAGCAGCAGCCUCCUUUAAAUCAACCUUUCUCAGGAAGAGUGCUGUGGUUCAGGCCCCAGUUUGGGAUGUGUCUGAGCAUGCUUCCCAUCCACAUCAUGGAUUCAAUUACAACACAACGCUUUGCAGAUUUCUGUUAAAUUUUAACUCGUUUCACAUGGGUUGUAUGAACUUUGCCUGACAUUUGGAAGCAGGCAACUUGUGUCAUCAGGUUACACUCACACUUAUCUCUGCAAACAUAUCCUUGUACCCAAACCAGCACCAGCACAACCGUCUUCGCCGUGGCUGGCAUUAAUUGAACCUGAAAUGUUCUUUCCUCCGGCGUUGUGCUCCCUCCUGCUCACAGAGCCAUGUGUGUGACCCCAUCCCCUGCUCCACAAACGCAGCUGCAGCAAAUGGAGUGGCCACGGAGAUGAGGGCAGCGGGCGAUGCUGAGCCAGCAUCUCGCUGUGGGUUUUCAGAGAAGGGCGAUGCCAUAAAAAAGGGGCAGACUUUGAGAUGGCUCUGCCCAUCCCCAGCCCCUAAGUUGCAGGGAUGAGCCUGCAGUGUGUACUGCUGAUGGCCCAAACCCCAUCUCCUGGGGGAACCUCCUGUCCCCAAAGCUUGGCUGGUGACCUGCCAGGCAGCCAUGCCCUGCUCACCUCCGUUGCAUCGAGCCAUGCAAACCCAUCUCUGGCCAUCUGAUGGCUGAAACUCAGGUGUGAUCAAAGCCCGGCCCCUCUGCUGUGUUGGGGUUCAGCAGGGGAGGGGGAAACAUUAAAAUCCUGACAUCACUCAGUGGCCGGCUCUGCCUUCAGCUGCACGAAGUGGCCGGCUCUGCUGAUCAAAGGCCUCGCCACUGUUGUUUUAAAGGUGACAUUAACAUUUAAGGAGCUUUUGAAAGUCCUGGCUGGCAAUAAAAAGCCAGACACUCAGUCACAGAGCAACUCAAACGCAGGUUUAAUGAUAAUGAAGCAGCCUUUUGUUCUUAAGCUCAAAGAAGGACCACAAACCUAUUUAUAGUGUUUAUAAUAAAGACUGUGAAACCUUUGGCACAUAAUCCAGCAAACCGAUACUUGCAAGCCUCAGUGCUACUCAGUGAUCCCCAGAGUGUGCAGAACAGGCUUUUGAGAACACUUUUCCCCCUUUCCACCACUCUUUGUUCCAAUGAAGGCAUGAUGUGGACGCUUCUGUGUGCUUGCAAGCCCUGGUUUCAUAAAGUGUGUCCCCAUGGCACGGCACAGCAUGGGACAUCAUAGCAUGGCAUGGCAUGGCAUGGCAUGGCAUGGAACUGCAUGACACGGCACAGUAUGGCACAUGACCCAUCCUGCUUCCCAUCGUGGCUGCACAGUGCAGAGUGGGGCAGCAGAGGGGGAAGCCAUGCAGGCAAUGCUGGGCUCAGUGCACCACAAGCAGCCCCAUACCGACACUGGGUUAUAAAUAGCCUGGAAAUGAGAGCUGGGCAGGUCGGAGCCAUGGCUGAGUAAGAGAAUCCCCUGCUCCCCACAUGGCUCCUGGCUGCAUUGUCUCUUACCACGAAGCCCUUUGCUCCACGGCUCCCAGCCCUGUGCUGUGUGUUGCCUUGCAGCCCCAAGGAAAGCGAUUCCACGCGCCUUCCUUAAAGCAUGCAGUUGGAAAUGCCAUGCAAGUUCCCUCACUCCUCCUCACCCUCCUAGAUGUGGCAAUUAGCACUGAGUCCUCAUUCCAUUCAUUGAGUGCUGGGCAGGGUCAGCAGUCCCAGCAGAAGACGGUAGGGAGGGCAAAUAUCCUACAUCUUCUCCAACCCCUGCUGCCCAUGGCAGAGCCAGAGCAUGGAUUCACUGCCUGCCUUUCAUAGUAGCAGCCGGGAUGAACACCUCUGUGCACAGGCAGUGGUGGAGACCCAUCCUUGGAGGUGUCCCAGCACCAUGGAGAUGCGACCCUGAGGGACGUGGUCAGUGGGCAUGGUGGGAUGGGCCGGGCUUGGAGAUGAGAGGGAGCUUUUCCAACCUUCAUCAUCCUGUGAUUUUCCAGAGAUGCUCCCAGCCCCAGUUUGGCCACUGCCUCUUUCCCCUGCUCAGCUCACAGCACGGUGGGCGCUACUGGGGAGCUCAAGUGAGGGCUAUGGGGGUCCCUUUGUUUCCUAAGGGCACAAGUGGCCAAAGGAGUCAGUGAUGGGAAUGCACGGGGUGGGGGAGGCAGGCGACGGGAGAGCUUGCGGCUGGAUGUGACCCAGACCAGGGAACAGAUGCAACUCAUAACGUUAAUGAGGUUUUUUUUUCUUCCUCCCCAAAGGCGCUGCACUCCUGAGAACCGGGGGCUCUCUAUCCCAUGGCAACACCAAGCGGGGGAAAAAUGGGCCUGGCUUUUAUUUCAUUUUUUUGUCCUUUACAGGAAUCGCAGGCAAACAAAAGCCCUGAACAGAUUUAUCAUUUUUCUUUCUCCCCCACCCCCUCCUUUUCUUUCCUUUUAUAUUUUUUUAAAAUAGGGUUAGAGCAAGAUGGAUGGUUCCCCAGGCCCAUGGAAUGAGCAGAUAGAGGCAGCCCUGUCGACUCUGGCAUCCCAUUAAGCCAAGCUGCGGGAGGAGGCCGCCGUCGGACUUAUUACAUUUGCCCCCACCCGGACCCCAAACAUCAGCCCCAGUGUGGGGUGCCCCCGGCUCGGCUGCCCGUGCCCCACAUUGCCGGGUGCCACCCGCACCUCUACCCUAUCCAUCCCCCACAUCAGCAUGGGAAUCGCCUCUUGCAUCCCUCAGUGUCAGCCCACACCGAUUUGUCACUGAUAGGUGACAAGCACUGUGUGGCUCAGUGUGGCUCCGGGUAAGGGCAGCCGGGGGGGGGGGAGCUCAGACAGCCCCCAACCCACCGCUGACCAGGGCUGCUGUGCCUGGUGAAACAGCAGUGAGGAAGGGGGGAAAAACAAGGCAAAAAUAGAAGGAAAAAUGAUGGGAUGAAAAAAAUGAAACAAACCCCAUCGUGUUCAGGAGCCCAAGAACCACGCAGCCCCAUGGGGGGGUCGGCAGUGGUGACAGGGGCACCCGGCUGCCCCAUCUCCACCGCCCGCUUCCUUCGCACGGAUAUUUCCACUUUAAUACUUAACAAGGAUUUAAAACCCUUCUGCAGCCGGAGUUUGUUGGCAGCGAUAAAUUUUGAAUAGCUUAUAAAUAAUGGAGGCAAGGUGGUGCCUCCGGCUGGGAGAAGGGGUGAGGCCCCACCUGCCAUCAGGAGAGGGUGAGGAGCAGCCCUGGUGCAUACCGCUCGGUGACGAUGGCAUCACAGUGCACAGCCCAGCAUGGCCAGGCUGCUUCACACCUCCUGAUAGGGAUGAGCCAGCAUGCAAGUAUCAUGGGAUGGAAUUAUGGAUGGACGGAGAAAUGCAUGCAGUCCCUUUCUAUAUAUAUGUGUGCGGAUGCACGUACAGAGAGACAAAUAUAUAGAGCUGUGCACAGCCACAAGCAUGCGUGCUUGCAUGCAUCUCUAUGGGUCAAAUUGCCCACCUCCCCUUGACCUCCCCUCCAUGCCUUGCUCCCAUCGAACCCAUAUCCCACCCCAUGUGCUGCAGAUGCAACAGGCAGCAGCUCCUGCAGGGCACCUCACACACUGCUCCACACUUUGGGGCCAGGAGGGGAUUUGGGAAGAGGGCUGGAAGGGAUGAUUUCAUCCCCAUGAGAACUGGAGAGCGUUUCUGUGCACGGCAGGGGUGGAUGCAAUGUCUGCUCCCUGCUUUUCCCUGGCACUUUGUAGCAAGUCAGUAAUUAGGUUAUAGCACCGCUCUGGCUUAAUUUCUACGCACCAACGUCCAAUAAAUGUGUAUGGAGUUUGUAUGUGUGCCUGUAGUAUAUAAAAGCUAUAGGAAAAUGGCCAGACUUCACUACAUUAAUUCAUAAAGCAGGUCAUUCUUGUCUGGCCCUUUACCUCACUUGUUAUUUCUAUUUAUUAGUAAUAUUGAUGUUUCAACCAGGGAUCAGGACCCCAUUGAGCCAGCUUUAAUAACAGAAAAGAUUUAGCAGGAGAGAGCCCUGUAAUGAACCAAUAAUCACAACAGCGGCGCUCACGUAGUGCAGCUCACAAACAGCAUUGUUAUUUGUACAGUGUUUUAUUUGCUAUUUCACUUUUGCAGCGAGCCCAGCAUCUCCCACUGCACCAGUUUGGCCAUGCCAAGGCUUUGUUGAGGGUGAAAAUGGAAUGAAUGAGUGUUGGCUUCGGAGGGCCAUCAGCGUGGGCUGGUACCCAUGGUAACCGCUUGGGAGCCGUACAAAGCCCAGGACCACAUCUAAACCAACUUCAGCUUCGUCGCCUGCUGAGACAUUGAACACGAGCCAGUCCUCAGCUCUGAGCCAAGAUACACUUAGGGAGGGUUUGUCUGGCAAGAACCUCUGGAACUAUUGAUCCGUGAGAAAAAGUGAUCAAGGGAAGUACAGCUGUCCUGGUUAUUGCCUCACCAUGCUCUCUACCAGCUGCAAAACUUCACCAGCAGAGACAACGAGAGAAGAGCUGCGCAGCAUCCUUCCUUCAUGCAAACUCUGCUCUGUGUCUGAAAGCCCAGCGCAGAGCUGGAGCUGCUGCAGCACCGGGGAUGGUGCACGGUGGGGAGAACCGGGGAGCAAACAUCGUCUGAACAGGGACAAAGGCAUUAUAAAUGAGUGCUGCCGGAUCUCCUGUCAGCCAGGGUGGUGUUACCUCUGCAUUUAUACUUCAGUAAUUUCUGCAUUUCUCUAAUUUCUUAAAUUGCCUGUAAGAUGAUAAUAUUUCCUAGAACAUGGUGAAUAGAUUAACUGCACGCUACGGCGCUAUCCAAAACUGCUUCGAGCAGCAUUAAAACCAGAUGUUCCCAAAGAGCCAAGGGAAAAUGUUACCUGCGCUGCUCACCAGCCAAGGGGCGAACUGCCUGUGCCUUACGUAGCAAUGCUGCUUUUCCUGGGAUCAUGGAAAACCAGCAACACGAGGCAUCUCCACGCCACAGCUCUGGCAACGUGUGCUCCACCACAUGCCCUUGCUUCCCACGCUGCCUGCUGCCAUCCGUGGCUGCGGGGCACAGGGACGGCAUGGCCAGGAGCAGCAGCCUGACCUACUUCAGUGCAGUGCAAUGGCCUCUCUGCCACGCAUCCUCGCACAGACACGAAGCACAGUUUGAGGGCAGCGGACCCGCAUGGGGUGGGAUGCUGUCCCAGCCUCCACCAGCUAGCAUUGCUCCGGCUGCCUCCGAGCGCUCUCACCGCUGCGUAUCAACUCACAGGCUCCAUUAACAAAUCAAAUUGCCACUGAUGUGCUUCUCAUUACAUCUCGGGGCUUACGCGUCGUUAUUUCAUUUAAAAGACGGCAUUUGUUUUCCCUUCCCUGAUUCCACGUCCCCAAAAUCUCAUUAGGAGAUCGCUGCUCAUUAUGAAGUGCUGCUCAGUGUAACGUGCUGGGGGUGCAGGACUCAGCAAAGGGCCCCACAUGGAGGUGGGGGGGGGGGGGGGGAGAGGGUAAUGAAGAGCCAUUGAAUGAGGAGUGCCGAGGCUUAAUUUGGGAGGAGAGGAGCGGACUGUGGAUGCUGACAGCACCGCAAUGCGAAUCCCCCUUGGAGCACCCAAAGAAUCGGCCUAAAUGGAUUAAUGUGAGGACAGAGAAGAAAUGACUUCAGUUGUUUCCCUGAUUCAAUUCCGUUUAUUUUUAUACGGCGUCUUCAUGCAAAGCAUCUCCCAGCUGCUUCAUCCAGAAGAGGGAUAACAGAGGAUCACCGCGCUGGCUCAGCUCUCACCAGUGCUGGCAUUGCAGUGGGAGGGAGGAACACAAGCGCUGGCCUUGAGGAUUUGACGUCCCAAAUCAUCAGGAGAUCAUAUGCCAUUUUUUUCUCUUCUUUUUCCAGUUCCAAUAUUGGUAAUUUCCCUAGGCUUUCCUCAAAGCAUCGCUGCAAUAUACUCGGGCUGAUUCUAAUCUCACGCUGCUUUUAUAGCACUGUAAUUCCGAUCUCACACUGGUUUUAUACUGGUGCAGCCCCACUUAUUUCAACUGAGUAAAUUCCUGAUUUAUGUCAGUGCAAACGACGGCAGAAAUGGGCCCGCAGCUCUCCCUGGAGCAACGCCUGGCUCCCACCAGGGUGAGGAAGAGGAAGAUCAGCUCGUUUGCAAUGCAAAUGGUGUAGAAAACUGCUGCCACAUUACACCCAGACCCUCACUUUGCGAUGCGCUUUUGCUCUCUUCUAUGAAAUGCACUUUGUUGCAUUUUGGAAACCCACAGGAGGUCACUGAGAAGCGACGUGUGGCUCUGCUGGGUGUCCGUGGGGACCGACCCGUUUAUUGCCUUCGCCCUUCUCUCUUCCUCAGCCCCACCACCACUCUGUUGCUGUUUCAAGGACGUUUCGUUGCCUUAAUUUACUCUCUGUGAUGUGAAGGGAUGCAGUGACUUAUCCUGAUACCCAUCCCAGAGGCUGCACCUCAGCAGUGCAGUGUUGGUGUUGGUUAAUAAGCCCCUUGCAGACCAAAGCAAGACUGUGACUGCUGCAUCCACCUGGGCAAGCUGCGUCCUCUCUUGCUUAUGCUAAGGGAGGAAAAAUAGGGGCUGUUGUAACUAAUGGCUGUGGGGUGGAGUGAUUUUCCCCUUCCGUUUGCUCUCAGGAAAGAACAGGACGGAACUGGGAGAGGAAGGCAGGCUGAAAAGGGGGAUGGAUAAGGACCUUGGUUGGUUGUCUCUGCUUGGGUGCUGGUCCCUCACAAUGGGGGGGUCCCUGAGCUCCCACCCAUUGCUGUGCCCUGAGGAGCACUGCUGCAGUGCCAUACCCACCCAUUGUGCACCUAUGUGAUGCUCAGACAGCAAGAAGGUGAGGGUUGCUGGUAUCACCUCUCCUAUGGGGCUGUGCAAACUCAUACUCACUGAUGCCCCUCUGCCAUUGCAAAGUGGGAAACAACCUUGUGCAGCCACUGGACAAAGUCUUCCCUUCACACCCAGCCUGGCAGCACUGAGCCCUGCUCCAUGGAGAGGAGCAAACCCUGAUCCCACAGCCCAGCAGAGCCCCCCCAGCCUAGCAGUCAGACCCACAAGCUGACAUCAGCAGAACGAAGCAUGGCCCCAGCAGUAAUCUGAUAGAACCCAAUGGCAGUUUGGGUUGGGGGGGGGGGGGGAGGGGAGGGGAGGCACUGAAAGAAGAGGCACUGAAAGUACACUUCCUUCAGUGCAUUGCUGGGGAGACCAUUAGGAAAACCACUAGAUUAUUUUUCACAUUCUUCAGCGCAAAACUACUGCGUUUUAUGACCACUAUCAAUAACAGCUAUCAUAUUACUAAUGCUACAGUUGCCACAUAUAUAAUAUUUAAAUCACAUUUGUGGCUGACAGAGACCUAUGGAUAUUCUCGAUCCCAACAGGCUAUUACAGUUCAUAUCGUGUCUGUCAUAUAAAUAUUAUGAAUCAUUUCCCACUAUCUUUAUGGGGGCUACAUUGACAUCGUCGAAAAGGCUCUGGGCUGGAUACUGGCUGCAUAUUUAUACACACCUUAUGUAUAUGUAUGUGAAUGGAGGGAGAUUUAUUCAACAAUCACCAGUAAUAAAUGCCUAUGAUAAACCAUAUUAUCUUCACACUUCAUUUGCAAAGUGUUUUGUAUGCAAGGACUGGGGGGAAGGCCCUGUCAGUGGCACAUCCUCAAGCUCUGGUGUGAGGCUUUGUGGUGAGGUUGCUCACAGCUGGCACAGCCCUAUCGCAGCCCCAGGUGAAGCAGGGAG